CUUACUUUUAAUUGCACAGACUUGUAUUAUACAGUUAGACAAAGUUACGUGCAACGCCCUCUACUUCCUUUUGUGUAAAGGACUUGAAGCUAUUCAGGAAAAAUGUCUCUAGUGAUUCCUGAGAAGUUCCAGCAUAUUUUGCGUGUUAUGAACACCAACAUCGAUGGAAAGA